rnacentral:lncRNA from 1 species
GGAUUCUUAGGGAGUGCUGACUAAUGGCAACAGUGGGGUAGAGUUUGUAGAAAGAAUAUCUCAACUGUGUUGCUGCUUGAGAGAGUUCAGGGAGAGGAUGGGUCUCUCAAAUAUAAAGGAUCCUGCAAAGUGCCUGAGAGGAGGAAUUCUUUCCCCAUGAAUUGUGGAAGAUGGGACCAUUCCCCACCCACUCGGGGCUGCCAGCUUUGCACUGCAAGCAACAGAGCCUCAAGAUGAUUUAGAAGCCCCACUCAAAAUCCUCUUGGCUUUCUGUCCCAUACUUCACCCCAGCUCUGCAUCCAUGUUCAGGCAAAGCCCAGAGCUGACUGCUUAGAAAAAUAUUUAAUUGAGAUUCCUCCUACAGUGCCUAUUUCUGUCUCAAUAAGGCCUUGGCAUGCCAUGGGUGGCUAAAUAUAUUGGCUGUUUCCUCUCCAAUGCCAACCUAGUUUUUUAAAUGUUCCCAAGUACAUCUGCCCAGCCUUCCUCUGAGAGAGAAUUUACAGCAUUGGCCCUCUGUGACCUAAAAGAAAAAACUCUAAGACUGUUAAGACAGUAUUGGCUUACUUAGAGAAGAGAAAACGAGGGAUUAUGUAUGUAUCU